GCCGGAGUGGCGGAAUGGUAGACGCGGCGGUCUCAAAAACCGUUGGGGGGUGACUCCUGUGUCGGUUCGAAUCCGACCUUCGGCA
rnacentral:tRNA from 1 species